GCCACAUCACGUUGAAACACCGGUACGAUCACCGAAGUUAAGCAACGUCGAACCUGGUCAGUAUCAAGAUGAGUGACCGCUUGGGAAUACCAGGUUCUGUAAG